rnacentral:miRNA from 1 species
UUUCUCUGUUGAUGCUAUGUACUCAGGUGAAUAUGAUGCUUGUGAUGUUGCUCUGAGUGUGGGUAUACACUCAGAGUAACAUCACAAGCAUCAUAUUCACCUGAGUACAUAGCAUCAACA